GGUAAGUGAUCUAUUCAUUCCAGAUUUGUUAGAUGCUUUCUUUUAGUGAUUUAAAAGGAAUGAAUUAAAACAUUUCAUAGAAAUAUCAUCUAUGGUUAAGAGGCUUGGUGGCCAGGGCUUAUAGUCGAUAGUAACUAUUGGAUGCUAGCUAUAGUGAUGGAAUUGGUGGUGACUUUUGUAUUUUUCAUCCUGAAAAUUCAGCAUUGUCGCAACCAUUUUGUUGUCAUCAAUAUGAUGGCUAUUGCUUCUGUAGUUGCUAAUGCUGCCCUUUGCAGUUGUAAGUCACCUGUACCACUGCAUGGAAGGCAGUGUUCUUUAGUUUACUUCAGAAAAAGGCAUUGAAGAAAUCAAAAUUAGUUCAUGAAUCGCUGAUUUUGUUAAAAUAGUAAGCUGUUGAGGCUUAGACUGUUCAAGUUGGUCUUAGGUUCAAUUAGCUUUCAUUUAAUUUUACCCUUUUUCUGACCAUGAUUUGGCUGAUAGUUUGUACUUCUGUAGGCAAUUUUAAUUUCUUAUUUGGUAUGCUUCAGUGAAUUAAUUAUACAUGCAUGAUUUCUGUACUCAGAAUUAACAUUCUUUCUUUAAGGCAUUUGGUCUUCAGCCCUUCUUGUUGUACCUUUUUUGUGCGGAUAAAUACUCCUGGUGAAUAUAUUAUCAUCUUGUGCUAAUUGAUUCUAGGGCUGGAAUUAAGACUCAUGUGCAAGAUUGGUAUGUUUUGGAUUUUUGGUUGUCAAUGUCAUCCUAGUUCACCAUUAAAAUUUUACAACCAUACCAAGCCAGUUGGGCAAAUUUUCUGUGUGCUUCUCCCUCUUGAUAGCUUUAGCUACCCUGAUUUAGACUACUGGUUUACUAACUUCUGGUUUUUUCUUGUUUGAAAAUGACACAGGAAAACCUUGCCAGUGGAGGAAAUAUUAACCAUUGAUAUCAAGCCUGGCUGGAAAAAGGGAACAAAAAUCACUUUCCCUGAGAAAGGCAAUGAGCAACCAAAUGUUAUCCCUGCAGAUCUCGUCUUUGUCAUUGAUGAGAAACCACACGGCACAUUUACAAGGGAAGGCAAUGAUCUGAUUGUAACCAAGAAGAUACCUCUUGCAGAAGCUUUAACAGGCUAUACUGUCCAUCUUACAACUCUAGAUGGUAGGAGCCUGACCAUCCUAAUCAACAGCGUGAUUCAACCGGACUAUGAAGAAGUUGUUCCAAACGAAGGCAUGCCUAUACCAAAGGAUCCCUCAAAGAGGGGAAACUUGAGAAUCAAGUUCAAUAUAAAAUUCCCAACAAGGUUAACUGCUGAGCAGAAGUCAGGAAUCAAGAAAUUAUUGGCCCCAUAGAUUUGGGAGUUCAGUAAUGCUCGGUCUCUUUGUGAAUACCUUUCUUUAAUUGUUUUUGGAGAUGGCUGUUGUUCUGUGUUGCUAGUUUUUGUACCAGAGAAUUGAACAUUAAACAUCUAGUUGAAUAAAAUAAUAGCAAAGUUCUGAGAUAUGCAUACGAUAGCAAGAUGCCACUGUAUUUAAACUAUACAAAGUUAUGGGCAUGGAAGCGCACUGGUUUUUAUGUUUGCUUAUGGGUAGGUGGGCAACGAUGGGCGUCUAGACACUGUAAAGACGAUAACUACCUUGGUGGAGCUGUGCAGGUGCUGCCUCAGUAAAAGGGAAAAAGGAACAACCCCUAUACAAGAGAGUAUACUCUAUUUUCGGAAACUAUUAGGUGCUUAUUCAUGUAAGAAGCAUAUAUUCCGUAUGUAUUGUUAUUUAUCUACAAUAGAGGAGAAUUAUUUUGUUCUAA
rnacentral:misc_RNA from 1 species